GAAAUGCGAUAAGUAAUGUGAAUUGCAGAAUUCAGUGAAUCAUCGAAUCUUUGAACGCACAUUGCGCCCGCCAGUAUUCUGGCGGGCAUGCCUGUUCGAGCGUCAUUUCAACCAUCAAGCCCCCGGGCUUGUGUUGGGGACCUGCGGCUGCCGCAGGCCCCGAAAACCAGUGGCGGGCUCGCUGUCACACCGGGCGUAGUAGAUUUUUCGUCUCGCCCAGGGCGUGCUGCGGGUUCCGGCCGUUAAAAAGCCUCUCUUUUAACCCAAGGUUGACCUCGGAUCAGGUAGGAAGGCCCGCUGAACUUAAGC
rnacentral:misc_RNA from 1 species